rnacentral:misc_RNA from 1 species
AAAAUGUAUCUAUGCCUUCAAACGGGGGACAGUUGAAGCAAUAAGGACAGAGAGGGAACGACUUGCCUUCGGGACCAGGCAUGCUACAUAGCAACAGCUCGAAAUUAUCAAGGGGGCAAGUAAGCUCCUUGUAUAGCUUGACUGUACCCUUCUGAGGUACAUAAUAGACUUCCUCACAGGUACCACAGUACAGUCGAGCUGGUUGAGUAGAUAUGUAUUUCAUAUAUCGCAAGCAUUUGCCACAUUUACUGAGGAGACGUCCAGAGUCUGAAAGUGGAGAAAAUUGGGCUUCAAAUAGUGCGUCCAUGUUAUCAAUCUGCUUAACAAAAUAACUGAACUUCCUUCUGAAUUGUUCUAGUACAUGCUGCACAACCAUUGAAUGAUCUGCUUGACCUUUAGCUACCAAAGUGAUCUGGUGCUCAAUGAAACUUCGUAUGUCAGGCAA